rnacentral:rRNA from 1 species
UAAGUCUGAUGUGAAAGCCCACGGCUCAACCGUGGAGGGUCAUUGGAAACUGGGGAACUUGAGUGCAGGAGAGGGGAGCGGAAUUCCACGUGUAGCGGUGAAAUGCGUAGAGAUGUGGAGGAACACCAGUGGAGAAGGCGGCUCUCUGGCCUGUAACUGACGCUGAGGCGCGAAAGCGUGGGGAGCGAACAGGAUUAGAUACCCUGGUAGUCCACGCCGUAAACGAUGAGUGCUAGGUGUUGGAGGGGUCAUACCCUUCAGUGCUGCAGCUAACGCAUUAAGCACUCCGCCUGGGGAGUACGGCCGCAAGGCUGAAACUCAAAGGAAUUGACGGGGGCCCGCACAAGCGGUGGAGCAUGUGGUUUAAUUCGAAGCAACGCGAAGAACCUUACCAGGCCUUGACAUCCUCUGACACCCCUGGAGACAGGGCUUCCCCUUCGGGGGCAGAGUGACAGGUGGUGCAUGGUUGUCGUCAGCUCGUGUCGUGAGAUGUUGGGUUAAGUCCCGCAACGAGCGCAAUCCUCGUCCUUAGUUGCCAGCAUUCAGUUGGGCACUCUAAGGAGACUGCCGGUGACAAACCGGAGGAAGGUGGGGAUGACGUCAAAUCAUCAUGCCCCUUAUGGCCUGGGCUACACACGUGCUACAAUGGGCGGUACAAAGGGUUGCGAAACCGCGAGGUGGAGCUAAUCCCAAAAAGCCGCUCUCAGUUCGGAUUGCA